GUUUCUAUGGUGUAGAAUUGCACACUAGAUUUUCAUUCUAGAGGAAUAAAACGUUUUAUUAGAAAUA
rnacentral:tRNA from 1 species